rnacentral:snRNA from 1 species
AUACUUACCUGGCGCGGGGGGGAUACCGUGAUCAAAGGCGGUGCCUCCAGGACGAGGCCUGUACAUUGCACUCCGUAUGGGCUGACUCCUGCGACUACCCCAAAUCGGGGUGGCUCGAGCGCAUAAUUUUUGGUAGUGGGGACAAGCGUUCGCGCUGUCCCUU